CUUGGUCAUUUAGAGGAAGUAAAAGUCGUAACAAGGUUUCCGUAGGUGAACCUGCGGAAGGAUCAUUAAAAAAAGAGAAACGUCCCGUUUUUUUCAUAAGAAUGGGUUCUAUUCCCUUAAACCGUGUCUACAUACCUUUGUUGCUUUGGCAGGCCGCCUUCGGGCGUCGGCUCCGGCUGAUAGUGCCUGCCAGAGGACCCAAACUCUAUGUUUAGUGAUGUCUGAGUACUAUAUAAUAUUUAAAACUUUCAACAACGGAUCUCUUGGUUCUGGCAUCGAUGAAGAACGCAGCGAAAUGCGAUAAGUAAUGUGAAUUGCAGAAUUCAGUGAAUCAUCGAAUCUUUGAACGCACAUUGCGCCCCUUGGUAUUCCGAGGGGCAUGCCUGUUCGAGCGUCAUUAUAACCACUCAAGCCUGGCUUGGUAUUGGGGUUUUCGCGUGUUCGCGGCCCUUAAAAUCAGUGGCGGUGCCGUCUGGCCCUAAGCGUAGUAAUUUCUCUCGCUAUAGGGUUCCGGUGGUUACUUGCCAAAACCCCCCAUUUUUUCUAGGUUGACCUCGGAUCAGGUAGGGAUACCCGCUGAACUUAAGCAUAUCAAUAAGCGGAGGA
rnacentral:rRNA from 1 species